GAUGAACGCUGGCGGCGUGCCUAAUACAUGCAAGUCGAGCGAACAGAUACGGAUCUUGCUCCUUUGACGUUAGCGGCGGACGGGUGAGUAACACGUGUGUAACCUCCCUAUCAUACUGGAAUAACUCCGGAAAACCGGGGCUAAUGCCGGAUAACCUUUAGAACCGCAUGGUUCUAAAGAGAAUGAUGGUUUUGCUAUCUCUUCUAGAUGCACCCGCGCCGUAUUAGCUAGUUGGUACGUUAACGGCUUAUCAAGGCAACGAUACGUAGCCGACCGGAGAGGGGGGUCGGCCACAAUGGAGGUGAAACGGGGUCCAGACGCCUAAGGGAGGGAGCAGAAGGGAACGUGAGGCAAUGGGCGGAAGCAUGACGGAGUAAGGGCGAGUGAGUGAUGAAGGUGUUCGGAGCGUAAUACUGUGUUAUUAGGGAAGAACAAAUGUGUAAGUAAAUGUGCACGUAUUGACGGUAACGAAUCAGAAAGCCACGGCUAACUACGUG
rnacentral:rRNA from 1 species